rnacentral:rRNA from 1 species
UCGGGAAUUUUGGGCAAUGGGCGAAAGCCUGACCCAGCAACGCCGCGUGAGGGAUGAAGUAUUUCGGUAUGUAAACCUCGAAAGAAUGGGAAGAAUAAAUGACGGUACCAUUUAUAAGCUCCGGCUAACUACGUGCCAGCAGCCGCGGUAAUACGUAGGGAGCAAGCGUUGUUCGGAUUUACUGGGCGUCAAGGGAGCGUAGGCGGCGCGGUAAGUCACUUGUGAAAUCUCUGAGCUUAACUCAGAACGGCCAAGUGAUACUGCUGUGCUAGAGUGCGGAAGAGGCAAGCGGAAUUCUUGGUGUAGCGGUGAAAUGCGUAGAUAUCAAGAGGAACACCUGAGGCGAAGGCGGGUUGCUGGGCCGACACUGACGCUGAUGCGCGAAAGCC